UUACAAUCAAUACCAUUCCACACUACUCCAAAACUUAAAUAGUUCUGUUUCCAAAAAUAAUUUUGAGAAUUCCAACGUUUCCUUCAGAUAUACAAAGGCAAGAUGUAACAAUGCGAUUAUGUUUGAAUCCAGAAUUGUUUAUGUAGACCAAGUCACCUCAGGAAGUGCUAGUUAAUGCUAACAAGAAAAUGAAAAUUAUACAGAAUUUUUUUAAGAUCUGGUUCCGAGUGUGUCUAAAGCCGCGUGAUCGUGGGCGUGGUUAAAGAGAUUCAAAUAAUCUCCGACCGCAUGAAUAUAAGGAUAUAUUUAUAUUAUAAGGAUAGAUAUAACUUGAGUUAGUUUGGAGCAAAGAAAAGAAACAGAGAUGCAAUCUAACCGAUCAUUCCGUGGACCACCUCAAGUCUACUCUAUUGUCCUGAACCUCGAUGACAGGUCACUUUGUUCCAGGAAAUAGAUCCUUUCAUUUGUUUGGCUUUGAAUUCUUAUAUAAAUCUUCUAUUACGUUUUUUUCAAAUUUAAAUCAUCUAUUGAUCAAUUAAUUAAUUAAUUUUUUUUUCAGCAAUGCAGAUAAUUCGUUAGCUGAAGUAAUAGACGGCUUCUUCAGGGUGUCAGGAAUUAAACCAAGUAAUCAGAGACGAAAGAAUCCUGUAAUCCAAAGACCUGUAAUCCGUGUAAAGAUCGGCAAACAAAUCUUUCAAGUUUUUGCUUCCAAGCGUACCAAGAUUUGUAGAAUAUCUUUUGGAAUCUUUUUUCAAGCUUUGAGAGGAUGCUUUUCACUUACCGAAAAGAUCCUUAUAAUCCUAGUGCACACGAGUAGAGAGUAAUGCUAUAUAUUCUUGCUGUAUAUACACUUUGAGUGUAAGAAAUCGGUUCUACAAAAAAUCGCGACGCAAGCAAGAGGGUUAAUCUCACCCCGGGUGCGGAAACUUCCGCCUCUCACAGCGGGAAACUCUUCCUUUAAGAUUUUCUUUUUUUUGAUACAAGAGGACGCUAUUCAUCUUAUAAGAAGAUUUUCAAAACAAAAAUAAAUUUACUCUAAGAAGUCGGUUUU